UACGGGGGGGGCAAGCGUUGUUCGGAAUUACUGGGCGUAAAGGGCUCGUAGGUGGCCAACUAAGUCAGACGUGAAAUCCCUCGGCUUAACCGGGGAACUGCGUCUGAUACUGGAUGGCUUGAGUUUGGGAGAGGGACGCGGAAUUCCAGGUGUAGCGGUGAAAUGCGUAGAUAUCUGGAGGAACACCGGUGGCGAAGGCGGCCAUCUGGACCGCAACUGACGCUGAGGCGCGAAAGCGUGGGGAGCAAACAGG
rnacentral:rRNA from 1 species